GGGGCUCCCUCACGGCCCCGCGGGGCCGCCCGCGGCCGAGGCAGCGGCAGCGGCGGGAGGAGGAGGAGGAGGCGGCGGCCGUGAGGGGAAGGCGGGGGGGGCAGCACAGAACAUGGCGCCGCGUCCUACUUGCGCUGCGGUCGCCUCACGGAGCCCCCCGGCCAUGGCGGUUGUACCGCGGGGUUUGCCGUCGAGUUCGUCCCCCCCCCCUCCCUCCUCUCUCGCCGUCCUCCUCCUCUUCCUCCUCCUGCUCGCCCAGGAGUUUUUAAACUUUAAAGCGCAGCUUCCGCCGCCCCGCGCCCGCCUUUGUCCCCCCCCUCCCCGGAGCACACCGCGCUCGGUUCGGCCGCCGCGUCCCGCCGCGCUGCCCCGGGCGCUGCCCGCUGAGCAUCUGGAGAGAGGGAGAGAGAGAGAGAGAGAAAGGGCGCGUUCAUGAGGACUACAAAGUUACAAAUAUGGCUCCCCAGUCUCUCUUGCCUGAUCACUGCAAAGAAAUGAAGACGCACUUUAAACUAAACCAUUCGCAACUCACUCGCAGUCCCUGCCUGCCUCUCCCUAGCCCAGCACCCUGCACAAAUAUUUGCCAACUAAACACGCCGAGAGAGAGAGCAGCGAGCAACUUAUUUUUUAUUUAAUGCACGGCCAGCCCCUCUCCGAGGCAUCGCAGCCCGGCACGGGCAGGAGCAGCCCCGGGGAGCCCCCGAACGUCCCCGGAGCGCCCCGCGCCCCCCAAAGCGGGGGGCACAGCCCCCCACACACACAGGCGCUGCAGGAUGAGGAUCCAAGCCCAGAGCUGCUCUUUUCCAAGGAUUUGGGAUUGCCAAACUGUUCCCAUCAGCUGGAGCAGAACUCAGGACAGGAUGGAGACAAAGUCUCAGCUGUGAGCAUGGAAAAAUUCCAGGAAUAUGGAUAAAACCAGCAGGAAUUGUGUUGGGAAUGGGACAGGAAAAGCUGGAUCCAACUCCAGGUGUGUCCAGAGGUGGCUCCUGGGCUGAAUCUUCAGGAACUUUUCAUGGAAUUUCUGCUCCUGGUGCUGCUGAAAACCUCUGGAAAAGGACUUUUCUCCUGGAAAAAAAAAAAAUUGCUGGGACAAGCUGGGAUUUCAAAGGAAUUUCUGGGAAUCCAGAGCUGCUUUUUCCUUUGUUUGUUCUAAAGAAAAAUGUGGAUUUUGAUUGCUUGAAGGUGCAGGAAAUUCCUUUCUCUUUCAUUAUUGAGGGAAUUUAUUCUCAGUUCCAAGCCAAAAUUCCACGUUUAAAGCUGCUCCUGUCAUUCUUUGUAUUCCAAGAGUUUGGGAAUUAAAAAAAGAUUGGGAAUUGUAACAUUGGGAAUAAACCUGAAGGGUUAUUUUUCCAUGGUACAACUUUCCUUCUGUGAUUUUUCAUUCCUGAGUUUUUAUCCUGCUUUGUUUUUAUAGGAAUUUUGAAUUUAUGAGGUUUUAAUGGGAAUUGUUGGGAUUUUUUCCUUGUUUGUUUUUAUCAGGAAUUUGGAAUUUAUGGGAUUGGUUUUUAGCAGGAAUUUGAGGGUUUUUUCCCUUGCUUUU